rnacentral:rRNA from 1 species
UGCUUAACACAUGCAAGUCGAACGAGAACGGCCCUAGCUUGCUAGGGUGUCAGCUAAGUGGCGGACGGGUGAGUAAUGUAUAGUUAAUCUGCCCCUUGGAGAGGGAUAACAGUUGGAAACGACUGCUAAUACCUCAUAUUCCUUAUGCUGUAAGAGUAUAAGGGAAAUGGUUUAUUCUGCCAAGGGAUGAGACUAUAUGAUAUCAGAUAGUUGGUGGGGUAAUGGCCUACCAAGUCAAUGACAUCUAGCUGGUCUGAGAGGAUGAUCAGCCACACUGGAACUGAGACACGGUCCAGACUCCUACGGGAGGCAGCAGUGGGGAAUAUUGCACAAAUGGAGGAAACUCUGAUGCAGCAACGCCGCGUGGAGGAUGACACAUUUCGGUGCGUAAACUCCUUUUAUAUGGGAAGAUAAUGACG